UAAAUUCAGUAAAAUCUCCAAAAGGCGCCCUUCUUAUAUUAGUUACCACCUCCAUCCAUAAAUUACAAAACUGUUCUUGUAGAUCACUGAGUGGCCCUAGGUAAAUUGCCCUGGUCACUUUUUAGCGGAAAAAUGGUCAUGGGAAUAAUUUUGAAGCCAAAAAUGAUUUGUUCGUUGUUUCUGGCGUUUGUAAUAUAUAACUCGAUCUUGUAUCAAGCACUCACAUUUUCUAUCAAAAAAAGAGAUAUUAUCAAUGGAAUACCGUUAAUGAAAAAUGGAGAAACACAAUUGGUCGGAGACUCAAUUCCAUCAAGAGGAUAUUCAAAGAUUUUAACAGAUAUAUACGACCAGGGUGACGAUAUGGGGUUUAAAACUAAGUUAUUGGUGAAAAGACUUUAUGAAAAAGAAAUGAAACGUUAUAAUAUCAAACAGUGCCAGCUUAAUAUGAUAGCUUGCCUAAUGUAUGGUGCAUAAUUUCCAGAAGAAACUAACGGAAAACUUACAUAAUUAAACAAAAACAUUUAAAUGUGAGUUAUUAAACAGUUACAUUUUUAUAUGUGUUAAUAAUAUAAUACUUUAUAAUUAUAAUUUUUAUAAUGCUU